UUUUCCCUGAUCUAGGGAGUCAGAAGAAUGCACUGGACCCAAGCAUUUAAAAAACAGAUAUAGAUGGCACAAAAAUUAUCGCAGCAUCCUGAAGAGAGCAACAUAGGAAGGUGUGGGUGGCAUUAAAGAAAACGAAAAAGUCCACCAUUAGUAGAACAACAGAGGAAGGUGUUAUUUUUUACCACACUAGACUUUGGUAAAGAAAACUACUUCCAGACUACAUGGAACAAUGGAUCACAUUCUACAAAGCUGAAAUGGCAAUAAGAGAGCAUUGCUGGGUGAAGCAACUUCUAGCUGGCUUUGGUUCACUUUCCCAGACUUUUCUCAAAUCGCUUCCUCUCUUUGGGGUGCAUUCUGCCUCCUCAGCUUUAUGAUGGGAACAGUGUUCUCUGUAUGCCAAACAACCAAACUGAGAACUGGGAAUUACUUUUGAGAUUCUUGAAUAAAAAUUGCUGCGUAAGUCAAAAUGAUCAACAUACAAAGCUUCACAAACCUUAUUCCCUUUAGAAAAAAUCAGGUCAAAUAAUGUUAAUUUAAAAAGUUAAUAUGUGACACUUAAUUUUUGUAAUGGUGUGUGUGUGUGUGUGUGUGUGUGUGUGUGUGUGUGUGUGUG